rnacentral:rRNA from 1 species
GACGACCGCUGGCGGUGUGCUUAACACAUGCAAGUCGAACGGUAAGGCCCUUUCGGGGGUCCACGAGUGGCGAACGGGUGAGUAACACGUGAGUAACCUGCCCUCAUCUCUGGGAUAACAGUCGGAAACGGUUGCUAAUACUGGAUAUGAGCUUGCAAGGCAUCUUGUGGGUUGGAAAGAUUUUUUUUGGUUGGGGAUGGACUCGCGGCCUAUCAGCUUGUUGGUGAGGUAGUGGCUCACCAAGGCUUCGACGGGUAGCCGGCCUGAGAGGGCGACCGGCCACAUUGGGACUGAGAUACGGCCCAAACUCCUACGGGAGGCAGCAGUGGGGAAUAUUGCACAAUGGACGGAAGUCUGAUGCAGCAACGCCGCGUGCGGGAUGACGGCCUUCGGGUUGUAAACCGCUUUCAAUUGUGACGAAGCUUUUUUGUGACGGUAGCAGUAGAAGAAGCACCGGCUAACUACGUG